rnacentral:rRNA from 1 species
GUAGCAUAUCAAUAAGCGGAGGAAAAGAAACCAACAGGGAUUGCCUUAGUAACGGCGAGUGAAGCGGCAACAGCUCAAAUUUGAAAGCUGGCCCUUUUAGGGUCCGCGUUGUAAUUUGUAGAGGAUGAUUCGGCGAGGGCUCCUGCCUAAGUCCCCUGGAACGGGGCGUCAUAGAGGGUGAGAAUCCCGUAUGCGGUAGGUUGCCUUAGCCAUGUGAAUCUCCUUCGACGAGUCGAGUUGUUUGGGAAUGCAGCUCUAAAUGGGAGGUAAAUUUCUUCUAAAGCUAAAUACUGGCCAGAGACCGAUAGCGCACAAGUAGAGUGAUCGAAAGAUGAAAAGCACUUUGGAAAGAGAGUUAAAAAGUACGUGAAAUUGUUGAAAGGGAAGCGCUUGCAACCAGACUUGUCCGCAGUUGCUCAGCCGGUCUCCUGACCGGCGUACUCUUCUGCGGCCAGGCCAGCAUCAGUUCGGGCGGUCGGAUAAAGGCCUCGGGAAUGUAGCUCCUCUCGGGGAGUGUUAUAGCCCGGGGUGGAAUGCGACCAGCCUGGACUGAGGAUCUCGCUUCGGCAAGGAUGCUGGCGUAAUGGUUGUAAGCGGCCCGUCUUGAAACACGGACCAAGGAGUCUAACAUCUAUGCGAGUGUUCGGGUGUCAAACCCGUACGCGUAAUGAAAGUGAACGGAGGUGGGAACCCGCAAGGGUGCACCAUCGGCCGAUCCUGAUGUCUUCGGAUGGAUUUGAGCAAGAGCAUAGCUGUUGGGACCCGAAAGAUGGUGAACUAUGCCUGAAUAGGGUGAAGCCAGAGGAAACUCUGGUGGAGGCUCGCAGCGGUUCUGACGUGCAAAUCGAUCGUCAAAUUUGGGUAUAGGGGCGAAAGACUAAUCG